GCGAGGACUCUGACCUCUCCGGGGUGGACGAGGAGGACGGGUUCUGCGGGCACCCGCGAAGGCCGGGGACAACUGGUCACGGGGCAGUGGGGGGGUGAGCUUGUUCCGCGCGGAGGAUCAACUCAAAGCCUAGGGGAUUAGGGAGGGGAGGGCGCAGGUCAGAGCGGCGGGUCAGAGGCGUGAUUGGGCGCCGCACAUAACAUGCCGGUAGCUCACAGCGACAGGAAUAGCGCGCCGCCUCGGCCUCCCGGGCGCGCCCCGCCCCGUGCCCUGACUGCUGGCCGCGAACCGAGGGCACGGGCGCGGGUGAAGCGGCCCGGGCCAAGGGCUUGACUCCAGUGACCCUACUGGCCACCAGUGUCACCAGAGGGUCCCAGGAACCCGGUUGGGGUUGCGGGAGCCGGAGUUCACUGGAGAGGCACGAGUCGCCGGAGCCCCUCGACCCGGUAGUGUCGGCGGAGGGGCGUCCGGCUGGGCAGGAGGAGUGUAGACCUCCCGGUGUCCCUGUGUCUGGGAAAGAAGCCCUGGCUCAACUUUCUGCUUUGAAGAGGCCCUAAUUAAUCCAGCGGGAGCGAGGAUUAAGCUGCGACUUUGCGCGCUGACACCCAGUAGGCCGCUGCGCGCUGAAGAGGCACUGGCGGGAACCACGCCCGGGCGAAUCCCAAGCUCCCCGCCAGCGGCGCUAGGGUCUCACUGUGUUACCCAAGCUGGAAGGCAAUGGCACAAUCACAGCUCACUGCGUCCUCGACCUCCCGGGUUCAAGUGAUCCUCCUGCCUCAGCCCCCAAAGUGCUGGUAUUACAGGGGUGAGCCACCCUGCCCAGCCUUGAGUUAAUUUUUAUAUAUGGUAUAAGGUAAGAGUCCAUCUUCAUUCUUUUGCAGGUUGAUAUCCAGUUUCCUCAGUACCAUUUUUUUAUUAUUAUUAUUUUUAAUUAUACUUUAAGUUUUAGGGUACAUGUGCACAACAUGCAGGUUAGUUAUAUAUGUAUACAUGUGCCAUGUUGGUGUGCUGCACCCAGUAACUCAUCAUUUAACAUUAGGUAUAUCUCCAAAUGCUAUCCCUCCCCUCUACCCCCACCCCACAACAGGCCCUGGUGUGCGAUGUUCCCUCCCUGUGUCCAUGUGUUCUCAUUGUUCAAUUCCCACCUAUGAGUGAGAACAUGCGGUGUUUGGUUUU
rnacentral:lncRNA from 1 species